rnacentral:rRNA from 1 species
GACAGAGGGGGCAAGCGUUGCUCGGAAUUACUGGGCGUAAAGGGCGCGUAGGCGGGAUGGCAAGUCGGUCGUGAAAUCCUUCGGCUCAACCGAAGAACGUCGAUCGAUACUGCUGUUCUUGAGGGUUGCAGAGGAGACUGGAAUUCCCGGUGUAGCGGUGAAAUGCGUAGAUAUGCGGAGGAACACCGAUGGCGAAGGCAAUCCCCUGGGCCUGCACUGGCGCUCAUGCACGAAAGCGUGGGGAGCAAACAGG